rnacentral:rRNA from 1 species
ACUCCUACGGGAGGCAGCAGUGGGGAAUAUUGCACAAUGGGGGAAACCCUGAUGCAGCCAUGCCGCGUGUGUGAAGAAGGCCUUCGGGUUGUAAAGCACUUUCAGUAGGGAGGAAGGUAGUGUAGUUAACACCUGCAUUAUUUGACGUUACCUACAGAAGAAGCACCGGCUAACUCCGUGCCAGCAGCCGCGGUAAUACGGAGGGUGCGAGCGUUAAUCGGAAUUACUGGGCGUAAAGCGCAUGCAGGCGGCCUGUUAAGUCAGAUGUGAAAGCCCGGGGUCUUAACCUCGGAAUUGCAUUUGAAACUGGCAGGCUAGAGUCUUGUAGAGGGGUUAGAAUUUCAGGUGUAGCGGUGAAAUGCGUAGAGAUCUGAAGGAAUACCGAGUGGCGAAGGCGGCCCCUGGACAAAGACUGACGCUCAGAUGCGAAAGCGUGGGAGCAAACAGGAUUAGAUACCCCGUGGUAGCGACUGA